UCUUGCUCAAGCAAUUUUAGAGGAAUAGCUCUAAAAUAAGUGGCUUUCCCAGGAUCAAAGGCAGAGCCAUUUUGCUGAAGAAACAGAAAUACAAGACCUGAUUGGCAGCCUGGGAGGAGAAACCUGAGGUACCUGAGGGCCUGGACUCAUGGGAGCAUCCCAAAAGAAACAGUCAUCAGUCCCCUAAAAUAUCUGUUACCCCAAUAAGUGGCAGUCCUUGUGAAGCUGGUUCAGAACAAAACUGCAGAGCAGGUGUUGGAAGGGUCAGGUGGUUUUUUUCCUUCCUCUUUGUAAAAAUGAAGGGGAAAAGCUCUGCCCUGGGGUAGUGCAGCUCCCUUUCCUGUUGUUCCAUCGUGUUGUUGGGAUGAGUGUCCUAAGAAGGGAAGAGAGCUGGGCAAGGCUUUGGAGCUCAAGGGACAGGACAAGAGGGAAUGGCCCCAGGUUGUGCCUGGUGAGGUUUAGAGUGGAAAUUGUGGGAAAUCUCCCCACUGGAAAGUUGGUCAGGCAUUGGACCAGGCUGCCCAGAGGCACCAAUGCUGGAAAUGUUCAAAAGGCAUGUGGAUGUGGUGCUCAGAGAAAUGCUUUUGUGCUCUUGAAUUCACAGUUAGACUUGAUGAUCUUGGAGGUCUUUCCCAACCUUAAUGACUCUGUGAUUCUUUCGGUUAAAAGGAAGUGGAAACACAAAUGAAAAAGGAUUAAUCUGCUGUUUGCAGUGCUGGGCGUGCUCUGCUUUGGGGACAGCUUUCCCCUCCCCUCCUUCCCCAGAUGAAAACUUGAAUCUGUGCUUGCCGCAUUUUAGUUUAGCUUGAUUUUUACCCUAAAAAAAGUGUGUUAAUAAGCAUUUCUUUGCAGCUAGGGAGCCACUUCCAGAUGUGUUUGUCCUGAAUGUCCUUAUCCUGUGUGCCAUUUGGUCAUGCUGAGCUCAAGGGGGAGUUUGCCCUGGACCCAGCUCAGAGGAUAUUGCUGCAGGAGCCACUGCUCUCAGCAAAGUGCUGUGAAAACAUCCAGGAGAUGUCUAUUCCUGCCCUAAUCCCUGAAAUGUGUCCCUCAUAAACACAGCCAAAUAAUUUGGGUGCUUUGUCUGUGCAGAGUGGAGAGAGCUGCUGUGGGAACUUUGAGAGCUUGAGUGUCUUGUUUUGCAUGUAAGUUCUCAGCACUGAAGUGCAUAAAUAGGGCUUUGCAUCUCAUAAUUUAUAAUUCAGCCCAAGAAAUGCUCUAAUACCUUUAUCAGAAUGGGAACGUCGCUCAAAGCACAAAAGCACAAAUCACUGAGGAACAGGCAGACAUUAAGGGCUGCUGUUCUCUCUGUGUCUGGAAUAACAGCCAAGAAUCAGUGAGAUUUUCUCCUAAACAAAUGUUUCACUGUUGUGUGUGUGAAUAAAUAAAUUUUCUCUCUCUCUCUCUUUUAUUUUUUUUUAAGGCAGGCCAAGGAAGGAAAGGAAAAGCUGAAGUGCCUUAGGUGCAGGGAAGCAUUUUGCUCUAUUCCCUGACUUUGCUCAGUGCCACCUGUGUUUCCCCACUGCAGGGUAAGAGCAGGAGGGCUGAGGAUUUGGGAUGGGCAAGCCUGGAAUAGGGAAGAAAUUUCUUCACAGCUGUCCCUGGUCGUGGGACCUCGGGUUCUGGUGGCCAGGCAGUGAAAUCAGGAGGUCUGGGGAGAUAAACCCACCUCAUCCUGGUGGGAAGGGGCUGGGAGCACCCUGGUCUAGUUGGAACUGGAUGUCCUUUAGAGUCCCUUGCAACCCAUGAGAUUCAGCGUUCCUGUGGCUGUGGCAGGGAAGGGGGUGGUGGAGAAGCUUCUCUGCGAGCAGCACAGGAUGUGCCCCCUAAAGCGCUCCAGCUCAGAGUGGAAAAGAAAAAAAACCCACUUGGGAAUGCUGAUACAUUUGCCAGGGUUUCUGUAGCCACAAUAUAUCCCAGGAAGCAUGGCACCCACCCAUGGUUCAUUUACAAGCCCUGGGUUGUGCAGAAAACAGGAAUUGCCCUUCAGAACCCCACUGAUGGGCCUUCUCCUCCGGUCCCCCCGUGCUGGCACAACCCAGCUUCACAGGCCACAAGGGAAGCUGCAAAGCUGCUGUCAUGAUCCCACUGCUGGAGCCAGAGGCAGCUGGAAAGCAAUGGAGAGGCUCUCAGUGACUCCAGGGUGCUGUGAAGUGGGGGCCCAGGCCAUCAAACCUCCAUGGGGGCAGGCAAGGGGAGAGAAAAUGCGUGGGAGUAGGACUGCAAGUCCUCACUGAAAUUGUUUGUUCUCUUAUUUUUAAUCUCCAGCAUCACUGGACGUGAUCCCUCUGGAGGUGCUGCCAGACCAUUGAGUGCUCCAUCCCUGCCCUCCAGACACCCUCUUCCUGGAAGAAAGUUGGCAACUUUGGGUUUAUUCCAUUUUUUCACCCAUGCCACAGACUAUUUAAUAUCAGGUUUGCUGUGGGUUUGUUUGGGUUUGGUCCCACAAACGCCUCUGGGGCAGGUCAGUGCAUCUCUCAAGCCACCCCUUGGCUGUGCCUUUGGAGUUUGCAAAAUCCAAGGAGACCUCUGUUGUUCUGCUUGAAUAUCCCUCCCCACCUCAGUCCCAAAUGGUGGGAAGCAUCAGGGAAUAUUACUGAUAAACAAUAGAUGUCUGGUGGAGACACUGGUGAUUUUCCUGGUACAAAAGGCUGCUGCAUCCUCUGUGAUAAUUCCCCUUUUUUUUUUCCUCCUUGCUGGCUUUGUGGUUUUGUGAUUUAUUUGUGGGCUGGCAGGCGUCCACAGCCCUGCAGGAAAUGGAUGUCUGCUCUUGUGUUUGAGGGGGGGGGGCAUAUAAAUGUGUAAUUGCCCCACUACAUUAAUUACAGACGUUUCUCCCUGGCUGGAGCAGCUCCAUGGUUUCUGUGCCCUUUCGGUUCGUUCUCCCCAGCCCAGGCUGAGAGUAUUUAUAGUGAACCCCAGCUCUGACAUCCUCAGCUGAGCUGAGGGAAAGUUAAAGAACUUGGCCACAAAAACUGUAGAGGAGAAACUCAGUGGCCUUUUUUUACCUGAUAGUAACUCCAGGACAGCAGCACAGCCAAGUUUUCCCUGGCUAUUCCUCCUGCUGACAUUUUCCUCAAGGAUAAAACUGGUUUGCCCUAAAAAAACAACCCUCUUGCUAUGGAAAAGAAAUUGUAGGGCAAUUUACUUUGGAAUAGCUGUGCUACCUAAUUCCUGGCUCCUAGAGAGAGACCCAGCUGGACUUGGAGCAAAGAAAGGAAACCUGAGGCAAAAUUCAGUGUGGUUGAAUCAGGUUUUGUUGGAGGAAAGGCUGGACAAGCCACCGUGAGGACCUGGCACAGGGUGCCCAGAGCAGCUGUGGCUGCCCCUGGAUCCCUGGAGUGUCCAAGGAAGGUUGGACACUGCGGCUUGGAGCAACCUGGGAUAGUGGAAGAUGUCCCUGCCUGUGGCAGGGGGUGGAACAGGAUAAGCCUUAAGGCCCUUUCAACCCAAACCAGUCUGGGAUUCUAUGGUCUGGGACAGCAGUGGGAUCAAAACUCAUAAUUUCCAGCAGAUUGAAUGUACCUAUGGUGCCCCUUGGCUUGUAAUGUGGAUUCUCCAUUGAUUCCUGAUGAAACAGGAAUAUCCUGCCGUGAUUUUUCUCAUUUUUAUCGUGCCAGAAGUGAGGGUGAAGAAUGAGGGAUGUCUGCAAGGACAGGACAAAAACCUGAGCCAGCCUGGUGGCAUGAAACCAGGAGGGAGGUGAGGAUCUGUGAUGGGGGGACAUCCAGGGAUGCAGAAUUCUGGGAUCUCACCUCCUGUUUGGAGUCAUUGCCUGGAUGUGCUGCUGCUCUGGCUCUGCUGCAAUACGUCUCAUCCUUUUUGGGGCUGGGAAUGUUCCACCUACAAAGCUUCUCCCAGGAGUCCUAGCAAACCUUUGAGGUAAAUCCAUCCAGAUCCACAUAAAAUUAAGCAUCUUACUGUGUUUGUCCU